rnacentral:snoRNA from 1 species
AAUAUAUAGUGAGGGCACCUUCUUAAUAGGUUGUUGUAUCUCUUCCAUGCAUCAUACAGGGUGUCUAGAUCCAUCUGCACUAAAGAAGAGAUAUCAUUCCUUAGUUU